ensembl:snRNA U6 U6 spliceosomal RNA
GUGCUCACUUUGGCAGCACAUAUACUAAAAUUAGAACAAUAGGGAGAUUGGCAUGGCCCCCACGCAAGGAUGACACUCAGAUUAGUGAACUGUUCCAUGUUUUU